rnacentral:lncRNA from 1 species
AUGAAAAUAAUGCAACAAACUGCUCACGGGGGAACCUAGGCUUAUUGCUACUUUGGUGGCUUCUGAGUUUGCCAGAGCAAAUGUAACAGUUUUUCCACUUUAAUUGGAUUUAUUUCCGAGUCCCAUUUGCCAUCCCUUCCUCCUCCCACCAGUAAGACCAAAGGAAGCUAAUUUUAGAUGCAUUUGCCCGGAGAAGGACAGGCUGCAGUAUCUGGAGGUCUAAGGUUUGGAGUUAUCUUCUGGGGUGAUCGUGGUAUUUGAAAUUUGUAAAAUUCAUGCUCUCUCAGUUGCUGUAGCCAUACUACUGCCUGGUGAACCAAAACUGCUCAUGGGUAUUAUUACUUGGUAGAUGCU